CCUCUUAGCAUCACCAGAUGAGUCAAACUGUAAACCAGGAAACUUUAGCUGAAGUGGGUGUAUUAGUGAGCAUUCUCCUAAGAAACAGAACCAGUCAAGUGUAUGUGUGUGUGUGCGCAUGUGUGUGUGUGCAUGUGUAUGUGUGUGCGCGUGUGUAUUUAUUUUCAGGAAUUGGCUCAUGCAAUUAUGGAGAUUGAGAAGUCCCAAGAUCCGCCCUUGGCAAGUUACACACCCAGGAGAGCAGAUUGUGUAAGUUCCAGUGUGAAGCCAGCAGGCUUAAGAUCCAUGAAGAGCCAAUGUUUCAGUUCAAGCCUGAAGGCUGGAAAAGGUCAGCUCACACAAUCAGGCAGCUGAAGUUCCCUCUUACCCAGCCUUUCUCUUCUAUUCAAGUCUUCAGUUGAUUAAAUGAGGCCCACCUACGGUAGGGAGGGCAACCUGCUUUUCCCAGAAUUUACUUACCGAAACGUUAAUCUCCUCCAGAAAUAGUCCUUGAAUGCUCUGCCCUUUUGGGGUUGCUGGAGUAAUAGGCAUUUCUCACUGUCACACACGUGGCUUUCACAGUGCAGUGGCAAGGAAAGUAGGCAAGGAAUUCAGGAGGUUGGUUUGAAUCUUAACUAUGAUACCUUCCCUCCCCAACUGGAAAACUUUAGGACUCUCCUGUGCUCCCACAAAACUUUCCUCGUUGGAGAGAGAAGUAGAAAAUGCAGCCUCCCACACGCCAGGCAGAGGGAGUGGUCUCCUGAAGGGGAGGGGAGGUUGAAUUUCUGGAAUGUAAUGUGAGCAAAUCCCCUGUUGUCACAGAUCUAAGGCUUGCAUCUUCCAGUCUGGCAAUGAUGAAGCCCAUUCUCCCUCUGCUGGGCUCAGCUGCUUCUGAGUCAUCUGUCUCAGAAGAGAAGUAUUAUUUAUUGACCUCUAAAAUCUCAUUAGGAGUCACUUCCUAAGUAAAGCAGAGGAUAAGAGCCAAACCCUUUCAAAGUAGUGUUACUCAUAGGGAAUUUACAAAUCACCCCCAUUUCACAGAUAAAGAAACUGAGACCAAGUCGGGGAAAAUGAACAAUUGGCCACAAUAUUCCCAACAGCCCUCUGGAAUUGGCAAUACUUUCGGAUUUUACCAAUGCAGAGCCAAUAAGAGGCAGCACACACCACAGUUGGUGGCACAGCUGAGAUUCGAACAGGCCUCCGGAAUCCUCUGACUACUUUUCUUUCUUUCUACCAUGCCACAGGAGCCAUAGGUGCAAGCUAUAUGACGAAGAGGAAAAAGAGGAGGAGGAGGAUUAAGAGGAGACGGGGAAGGAGGAGGGGGAACAAAACAGGAUCCAAACCUUAGGCUAAAGGGAGGACUCUCAGAUGAGAACCCUGAUGGGAGGUGGGGGUGGAGAACAAUUUUACACCUAAUAUUUAAAGUAGUAAGUAAAGUGGGCCUUGGACCCUCUCUUCCCUUUCUUUUCUCUUCUCCUUUUCUUCCUCUGGGAGACACUAUCUGUUGCCUUUCCAGCAGCUAUUCUAUUUCAUCCAUGCUAAAAAAAAUCUAUUUAAUCCCUGCUAAAAAAAAAAAAAAGUAUUCCAAUAGUGGUCAUUGUCCAGAUGAUGGCUGGAGCUGUGGGCUUGGAGAGGAUUACUCAGGGAAAGGGCUGAACGGUGUGAAGUUAUGGCACCCAGAUAACAAGAAAUUGAGAUUUGAUGGAAGCUGAAAAAUUCCAGGUGUGAAAAAUAUUUCCCCUGACAGAGAAAAGUGAUUUUUGGCACUAGAUGGGGAAGGUGCUGGGAAAGGUAUUUUCAAACUGGAAGCCCACUGAGUACGCUUUGGGAUUAUAACAGUAACUAAAGCAGCUCACAUUGGCCAUUUGAUGUCCCUAGUCUAAGUGUUUUAUAGGUAGUAUUUCAUGUCUUCCUAAAAACUGUGUGAAGCAGGUGCUAUUAUUCCAGUUUUCAGAAGUGGAAAUGGAGGCUGUGAGAGUUUAAGUAGCCUGCCCAGCUACUAAGCAAUAGAGCAGGGUUUAAAUCUGUGCAGUGUGACUCUACAGAAGGGGAAAGAGCAAGUAGGGAGGGAGAGAUGGCAAGUACUAGAGAGCUUGGGGAUGAUUGAUCUAGCAAAGUUCUGGAAGAGAUGGAAAGGGAUGGGAUCAAUAGUCCAGGUGGAGGGGUGCACCUUGGCAAAGUAAAAGAAUGCGUCUUCCUUUGAGACAGGAGGGCGGAUGAAAGGAUAGAUGAUAAUGAUUCACGGAGUCUCUGGGGCGGAGGGAAGAAAGUCAAGGCAGUGCAUAUUACAUGACCUUGGUCUUCCCAGGAAAGUCGCGAGCAACCCACAUAAGUAAAGCUGGUCCUCUUUCUCACGCACUUCCUCUUUUUUUCUUUCUUGCCCAACCCCCUCUUCUUGCUUUAACACAGAAGAAACAACCCAGGUUAUACUCUUUCAUCUAAACUGGACAUUUAUUUGUAAAUGAGGGAUUGGGCUGUUGUUGAAUAAACAGGGGAUAAGUUAACAGAGAUUGCUUGAGAAGGAUUCUGGGAGUUAACAAUGGCUGUGGACAUGUGAAGGAAUAGAAGAGGGGGAAAGGAAGGCCAGAAGAAUUUGAGGCAAACAAGCUACCUUGGAAGAAAGCAACAUACAGAUGAGAAUCAGCCAGAGUUCUGAAGAUUGGGCAGAGCAGAGGAACACCCCCUCCCUAUAACCACCACGAGUUUGUCUUGGAGAAGCCAGAUUAAUAGGAGAUGAUAAAGAUGAGGAGGCUGAAUAGAAGACUCUGAUAGCCUGGAGGAAUAAGAAGCCACAGGUGGAAUGAACGAGAGUUCUGUCACCUGAACAACAAAUACGCUCUUACUGGCCUAUGCCACUAACUUUUGUGCUUGUGGAAGUACUGAACUAAUCUUGAUAAAGUAUAAAGCUGGAGGAGAAAGAAGGUAAGGCUGGUCUGUUUAGGGGCCUGAAAUGGAAGAUUAAAGAAUGUUACUUUAUUUUAAGAAAAAUGGGCUGCUGCAUUCUGCUGAGCAAGAGAGGGGCCUAGUGUUCCAUCAAAACUGCACCCUGGCCUGUGAGAGGGAUUAGAAGGAUCAAGGCUGGUGACUAGAGGUGCUAGAGUAGUAGGAGGCUAUCAUCAUCAUGCAAGGGGGAAGAAGGAGGCCUGGACAGAGAUGGCAGGAGAAAUAGGCUUGAAAGAUGAGAUAGCCAAGAGGCUGAGCAGGAAGGGUCUGCAGAGCAUGGUAUCUGACAAGAUGUGGAGGAUGAGGGAAAGCGUGGAGGGCCAUCGCAAUGGCUUGAAUGUGUUCCCCAAGACAUUAUGUAUUAGAAACUUACUCUCCAGUGCAACAGUUCUGGGACACGGGGUUUAGUGAGAGGUGAUUAGGCCAUGAUGGCUCUGCCCUCAUAAAUGCAUUAAUGCCGUUAUCACAGAAGCAGAUUUGUUAUUGCCGGAGUAGCUUCCUUAUAAAUGGAUGAGUUUGGGCCUCUCUUGCUGUUUGUUGUACCUCUGCCUUCCACCAUGAGAUGACACAGCACGAAGGCCCUCAGCAGAUGCUGACCCCUCAAUCUUGGACUUUCCAGCCUCUAUAAUUGUGAAACUAUAAAUUUUUGUUCAUUAUAAAUUACCCAGUCUAUGGUAUUCAGUUAUAACAGCACAAAACAGACCAAGACAGCCACCAAGAUUAUUGGGAGUCUUGGAGGAAAAGCCAGUUUGGGAGAAAGAUUUUGCCUUCAUGUUGGAAUAUAUGAGCUUAAGCUGGCUGAGAGCUAUGGGAAGAUUCCCAGGUACAACUGGAAAUGUCACCCUGAAGCUGAGGAGAAGACCAGAGCUAGAAGUGACUGUCCAGACUGAAGCCCACCCUGCCUUCCCUGAGCCAAUCUCUAAGACCCCUUAGGAAUAGAUACACCAAAAAGACUCUGAUCCCAGAUGCAGACCUGCAAUCCGGCGUAAAUUCAACUUCACAAUUUUUCAGCAUUCUCAGAGGUAGAAAUGGACUAAAAGAUAGAGUCAAGUUUUACUGGAAAAAAUGCUUGAUGGGUGCUGAGGAGGUGACCCUCAUCGGACAGUGAACCCAAUCUGGUCUCAGUAUUCACGCUUUUGACAAAAAGGAAGAGACAACGGAGAGACACAUUACAGCAUGUGGUUGGUGCAGAAUGACAAUAGGCAAUUCAACCACAAAAGACAGGAAUGUGAUCUUAGCCCUGAGGAGAAGAACAGCAAAUACUCCUUGACUCUGGGUGAAUUUAGAAAUGAAAGAGAAGACACGUGUAAAUUUCACUAGCACUUUCACAGUGAUAAAAGAAAAUACUUUCACAAUAAAUGAGGUGCUACUAAAUAAACGAAUCACUUGAAAUGUACUUUGGGAUAGCUGAGAUAAAUUAAAAAACAGGUUAAAGUAACAUCUGUAUAUUAACAUCGUCAUAAAACGAGUUGGUAAUGGGGAGAGCAUGCAAAGUACUAUGAAACAAUAAUCAGAAACAUUGUGUCAAUGAUUGAAAACCAUGCCAUUUAUUGAGAGGUACUAAGUGUCUAAUGUUUCUGCAACACGUUUUUCCCAACUGGGUUUAUAAGAAGUGUCUAUUCAACGCUGAUAGAUGCCCUUAAAUUCUAUCACAAAAUAACCUGCCUUGGGAAGACUACAUGUUGAAUUGGUUCUUAUGACAUGAUGGCUCAAUGAGUUCUCACUGUCCUAGAGUGGUUGAAUAGCCAUGUUCAUUAGAAGAUAAUAUCUGAUUUCUUGGA